UACAGAGGUCCCAAGCGUUGUUCGGAUUCACUGGGCGUAAAGGGUGCGUAGGUGGUGAGGUAAGUCGGAUGUGAAAUCUCCGGGCUUAACCCGGAAAUGGCAUUGGAAACUACCUUGCUAGAGGUUUUGAGGGGGGACUGGAAUUCUCGGUGUAGCAGUGAAAUGCGUAGAUAUCGAGAGGAACACCAGUGGCGAAGGCGAGUCCCUGGAAAACACCUGACACUGAGGCACGAAAGCUAGGGGAGCAAACAGG
rnacentral:rRNA from 1 species